UUGUUCGAACUGAUUUUUGUUGUGUGAAAUUUUUGCAGGAUAUGUAAAACGCCAUCGUUUACGUUUAAGGAUAUGCUGCAUAUAUGUAGACUACAUAAUCAACGCAACAUUAUAAUUUAUAAGUUUUUUCAACUGAAAGAGAUGUAUUUCAGGGCAAUGUCUAAGGAAAUGACAACAAUUAUUCGCAGAAAAUUAAACUCAAUUAUCCAAAAGCAAGGGUAGCUUUCAAGGUACUGCGGUUCCCUAGAAUAAGAGCGAUCUAAAAAAGUGUAUGUAUUUUCAACGUUUACAAAUACAUCUAAUGAUC